rnacentral:lncRNA from 10 species
GGAGUUGCUCACUGCCCAACGUAGAGGACUAGGAAUCAGGAGUCGGUGGCCGUAUGCUGGAGGCUGGAGCCGCGGGAGCGCGGCUCGCCUCGCUGCGGUUGUUGGCAGUGACGGAGAGAGAGCAGCGCGGCUGGAGCAGGACAUUGUAUUAGUUUCCUGCAAUAAAAUAUUUUUACAAUGUCAGUUUGUCGAAACUGCUGGACUGUAAACUAUUUCUAAUCGAAACCUGAAAUUGUGUCACAACAUGGCUGUAUUACGAUUCCAUGUCAGAGGAAGGAUAUAUACGUGCAUCUGGUAGUGGCUUCCAGUUGUUGCUGUCAGAUGUUUGUUUGGGAAUGCAUUCAGAAGAGCUUAUCAAGGACUUGAGUACAAAACAAGCAUUUCCACAAAAAAGCAGUGACACAAAUCACUAUGUAAUAUAGUUAGCCUUUGAACAACACGGAUUUGAACUGCAGGGGUCUACUUAUGAGCAGAUUUUCUCCCACCUCUACCACCUGAGACAGCGAAGACCAAUCUUCCUCUUCCUCCUUCUCCUUAGCCUGCUCAACUUGAAGACUAUGAUGAAGAGUUAUAUAAUGAUCUACUUGCAUUUAAUGAACAAAAUUGAAGUUGAAGUAUAAGGAGAAUUUUUACAUCACCCAGGUUCUAAUUUGGAAGGUUUCUAACAGCCCUCUGUCCUCUUCUGGUGCUCACUGUGAAAGAAUUUGCACCCUGCAACACUAAGUGUUUGUGCUAGAAUCCACUUCUGAUGUUGGCUGCUCUGACACAGCUUCCAUUCGGCAGGGUCUCACUCUUGUCGCCCAGACUGCAUUGCAGUGGGGUGAUCUCGGCUCAUUGCAACCUCUGUCUCCCGGAUUCAAGCAAUUCUCCUGCCUCAGCCCCCC